GCCGCCGCCGUCUACGUUGGCGUGCCGUCAUCUGCUGGUCCGCCCGUCACGGCACGGGGCGGAGGAGACGAGAGGA
rnacentral:ncRNA from 2 species